rnacentral:tRNA from 1 species
GUUAUUAUAGUGUAAAAAACACAUUACAUUUUCAUUGUAAAAUUAAACAUUCUUUUAAAAACU